UCAGACCUUCCAGCUGCCUCUCAUGUACUUGUCUGUUGGGGGCUUGUGUUGAUCAGGAGUGAAUUCACAGUCUACCAUGAAUUGGAAGGUCCUAACUGGGACCACCUACUCCCCUUGGAGGGUCCGGAUGGAGUUUCCCCUCUGCGGCUGCCUCUCACUCAUCCUCCACCGCUUUGCUGACAAGGAAGGAAGGACAAUUGGGAGGAGGGAGUCUUGCUUGGCGACCAUCUGGACAAUAUCUCGCCCAUGGCAAGCUGGAUCCCUGUGGAUUACUUUGCUCCUGGUUUGUUAAGGCAAACCCCCAUCUCUGGCUUCUCCUGGAACCUCACCUGGGAAAGAAGGAGGCAGCCCCGGAGCUGGAAGCUGCUUCAGGGCUCACCCGGAACAGCAGACUUAACCUGGACCCAUCCAGGCAUCUCCUGGGAGCUUCACGCAAUUGCUUCUGCCUGGCACCAGCUCAGAGGUUCUGACAGAAUUGGCCUGGGGUGAGGCCUGGCAUCCAUGGGAUUUUUACAAGCUUCCAGGUGAUUCUACAGGGAAGCCAAGCCUUCCAGGCCCCGGUGGGAUGGGACUUCCCUGCCUGCACGGUUGAGAGGAGCCAUGGGCUUAUUCUAGCCAAUGAGUGGUGGAUGGACGUGACUCGUGUCUCUUCCAGGCUGGAGCAUUUAAUUGUCCAGGUGAGAUACUCAGGGACUUGUCCCUCCAGAGCUGAGAAUGGCCAUGUUUCCAGAGGGUCUGCAGGAGCAACCUGAGUCUCAGAGCACAGCCACCAGCAGACCUGCUGCACACAUGUGGCGGGGGAAAGAAAGAAAGCCAGCUGUCUGCAGCCACUGAGAGUUUGGGGUGGUUGUUUCUCAUGACAAAACCAGCUCACCCUGACUUAUACAAAGUCUUUGAGUUAUAUAGAUGGAGAAUGAGGCUCUUGGGUCCCUCUAGUCUCACAAAGCGAUAGCCUAGCUAAAUCCAUCUAACUAGGGAGCAGAAAAGGGGAGGUGCUGGCUUGCACACCCUAGACAGUUGUUCAAGAAGUCAGGACACCAGGCCUGGAGUGAUACUUCAGCCACCCUUCUAGGUGAGGGUCUUGAGGCCACACAGACAGAAGUGGCAGAGAUGGGACACACAUUGGUCUUCUCACUCACAGUCUGGCACUGAGCUGUGGGCUGCCGGGACACCAUGCCCCCACACGAGUAGCCUUCCCACUCCUUACCUUGAAGGAAAAGUGUUUUUUGGACAAAUACCCGAUGGAAACAUUACAUGGGCCUUGGAAUCUGUUAGAUCUAGCUUCCUGAAACUCUUGCUAGCUGUGUGACAAUAUACAAGUUUCUUAACCUCUCUGAGCCUCAGUGCUCUAAUUACACUCCCCUCAUAGAGUUUCUAAGAGCAUCCUGGGGCUGGCACGUGUCAACGCACCCAGUAUUUGAUAGAGUUUGUUAAACGUUGGUUAUCCUCUCUCCCUAUCGCACCUCAAAUGGUAAGGGCUGUCUGCCAGCUUCCAUAUCCCCAGCAGUGCCCUGAGUUGUUCAGAUGUUCAUCCAUCUCCCACAGAACUCAGGUUCCUUUGGAGGAAGCCACGUCAAGUCCUGCUCCAAGCUUAAGCCAGUCAGCACAUUCCAUGCUCUGCCCCAUUGCCAGGGUUCAGGAGUAUGCUCGUGAUCUAAGCACCCCCACUCCCAGAUACAGCUCAAGAUUCUUGCUUGGACUUCUGGGCACUCAAGCUCCUCCGAGAGGGAAUCAAACUUACUUCUCUCCAUGUCCUUUCCUCUAGGAGAUGCGUCUUUCAUAAAACUCUCAUCAACACUGUUCAGACAUGUCCCACCCCAGCAGGGGACAGCCUGGGCUCAAGCUGGGAUCCCUACUUUAUUUAUUUUCUGCUAAUUAAACUUCCUAAUAUACUCCACGCUAAGUGUGCUUGCAAGGCAGGGGGUGUGGGAUAAGCGGCCCUGCCUGGCUGGGAGAAGGGGCAGCUCCCUGCCGUACUAUGUAUUAAUAAAGAGACACAUGCAUGGCAGGGCUUGUCUGGGCCUUGGUGGCAGCUUAGGACAGAAGGCAUGUGACAGUCAGGGGUUCAAACAACCCAGGGAGAACACUGCUUCAGGGAAGACAGCUCAGCAUCUUCCUGGCAAAGAUAAUGACAUUGAUAAUACUCUCCAAAGAAUUUCAGGAUUUUGAGCAAUCAGAAAAGCAACACAGAAAUUCAUGUCAUCAAAACGAUAUGGCUUUAUUGGACACUUAAGACAUUUAUUGGAGGCUCAAUAACAUAAUCCUGCUGGUUGGUUUUACUUCAUUGAUUUUCCGUUGUGUCUGAUUGCAUUGCUAAUGCUGAUGGUGGACGAGCUACAGCUCUUUUCCUGCCUGUCCUGAGGUUUAUCCACCAAUGUUUCAGCUCUGUUUUAAGAUAUUGUCCUAAGCCCCCAGCAUCGCAUGCGUACUGUUUUUUUGUUUUGUUUUGUUUUGUUUUUUACAAAGAGUUCAUAGCCCGUGGAAGACUCUCCUCCAUCACACACUUAGGUUCCCUCCACACCAGGCCUGGAAGGAGUCUAGCUUCUGGGGACUGUACAUAUGCUGUGGACCAUGCAGAACCUGGAGAGGCCGUGACCCCUUCUAGAAGUGAUCUGCCUGAAUCCUUCCCUCUGGAGGAGGCAUUUAUUAAAUGCCAGGUUCCUGAAAGGCUCUGAGAUGGGCACUCCCUCUCCUGAGUCGUCCCUUCCAUUACUGCUUUCCUAUUUCUGGCCAGGGUUCCCUGGCCCCUCCUCCCUGCUCCCAUGGGACCCCAGUUCACCCCCAUCUUUGCUCAAUUGCCCUGCACUGUAGUAAUCCAUUGGCACUCUUGUCUUCUCCAGGAGAAAUAGUUGGAGGAGAAUUUUAUAGGGUUUCCUGGGCUAGGGCUGGUCUACAGUCACCAGACAGCAGGAAACGAUCCUUCGGGGCCUAGGAGGGCCAAGGCUGGUGGGCAGGUACAGGGGGAGCCAGCACUGCUGUCCACCACUGUGCAGCCUGGAGGCUGUUUCCCAUGACCCUGCUGAUGGGACCCAAGGCACCCCAGGCCACCCACUGCCCUGCCCCCAGCAGGCUGUCAGCUCCCCGGCUUCCCUGCAUGCCUGCCUGACAUGGACAGUGCACCUUCGGGCCACACUUGCCCUGCUAGCGAGCCUCCAGUGAACUGGGAAUUCCACAGAGCGUAGAGGACUCACCCCAACACUGUGCUGAGAGGCUUCACCAAACUGUAGCCUGGCUUCCACCUGCACUAAGCUGCAUCCCCAGAGGCGACCCCAGCCCUGGCUGAGUCUUGGCUCAAGACUUUGCAAUGCAGCCAAAUCACAAAAUGCGCCUCGUCCAGCCCACCCCGCUAAACCAUUUUCAGUAGUUCUCCCCUCACCCUUCUGGAACUUUCCAUUUCCACGUGGCCCCCACGUUCUGUCUUCAUUUCUCCUUCAGUCCCUUUUUGUUCCCUUUCUGUUCUCUCUUUGAAGACCUCGGUCACCGUUUUCUCAGUUGGGGUUGAGCUUGGUCGGUACUGGAAUCUCUUCCCGCUGCUGCAGGAGUCUGAAGGAAUCAGUCUUGCCGCCUGUAACACAUGUCCAGCGCUGCUUUUUCUCUGAUGAGUGUCUUAGUCAGUUUGGGCUGUUAAAACAAAUGGCUUAGGCAACACACGUUUCUGUCUCACAGUUCUGGAAGCUGGAAGUCUGAGAUCAAGGUGUUGGCAGAUUCGAUACCCGGUGAGGACCUGCUUCCUGGUUCGCGGGAAGAACACUCCUUGCUGUGUCCUCACAUGGUGCAGAGAGAGAGGGGGGUCUGGUGUCUCUUCCUGUAAGGGCACUGAUCCCAUCAUGGGGGCCUUACAAUUGCGACCUCAUCUAAACCUCCCGAAACCUCAUCUAAAUCUCACCUCCAUACUAUCACAUUGGGGAUUAAGGCUUUAACAUGUGGAUUUCAGGGGACAAAGGACAAAAGCAUUCAGUCCAUGGCACGUGCUCAGUGCCUCGACUCCUGCAAGUGCCACACCACAGACUCUCUGGGGCUGUGUCCUGGAGGCGUGUGCCAUGGGCCCUGUGUGCCAUGGGCAAGGUGCACAGCAACCUCCCGGCCACCCCACCAGCGAGUGAGCUCCUGGCACCCUGGCUCUCUCUGGUCACCCAUCUACCAGUCUUGGUGCUCCUGUGCACUAGAGGACCAGCUGCCUGGGGACUGUGGGCCAACUGUGGCCCCGGCCACCCACGAACUUCCCCUCCGGCCAGUGGCUGCAAUCACAUCUUCUCUAAAGACGUCUGAAGCCCAGCCUUGGGGAGCCGAGUUGGUCCUUCCCUGGGUACUGAGCCCUAGGGAACCCUUGAGAGUUCUCUUUGUAUCUUUGUAGUUUCUUCCUCACCACUUAAUCAUUUCCUUACAGGAAACUUCCUGUGUUCAAAUGACUGUAUGGUUUCUGCCUCCAGCUUCAUUUGUGGGUGCCGUAAGAGAGGCAAGCAUGGAGCACUAGGCGCAGGGGAUGGGCAACUGGCAAGCGGGGAGAUGCAUGCAGCGCACUUAGUGCCUGGUACAUACCAAGUCCUUUUAGUCUGGAUUUCAUUAUUUUUAAAUGGGUAUUGCUAUUUUUAAAAGAAUAGUUACAAAUAUUUAUUGUGUGUUUUGAAAUAAGUGGGUCAAGAUCAAUAAGAUAUUGUUGAUCAAUAAGAUAUCUUUUAUUCUUAAAAAUCAUAUUCUUCUGGUUCAGUGGGGAAGAGACUGCCGACCUGUAUUUACAGCAUUAUGUGAUAAGUGUUCUCCUUUUCAGGUAUGUAUUAGUCUGUUCUCAUGCUGUCAAUAAAGACAUACCUGAGACUGGGUAAUUUAUAAAGGAAAGAUGCUUAAUUGACUCACAAUUCCUCAUGGCUGAGGAGGCCUCAGGAAACUUACAAUCAUGGCAGAAAAGGAAGCAAGCAUAUCCUUCUUCGCAUGAUGGCAGGAAGGAGAAAUACAGAGCAAAGUGGGGAAAGCCCCUUAUAAAACCAUCAGAUCUUGUGAGAACUCAAUCACUAUCAAGAGAACAGCAUGGAGGUAAUUACCUCCCACCAGCUCCCUCCCACGACGCAUGGGGAUUAUGGGAACUAUAGUUCAAGAUGAGAUUUGAGUGGGGACACAGGCAAACCAUAUCAAGGUGCCUCCUGCAAGCACCUACCUCCACCCCUCCUUCAUCCUUGCCCUCAUUCUACAAUGAUUUGGUGAAAUCUGGUCCCUGCCUCAGUUUUACAGCCUCCCCAUGACUCUGGUUACUUCCUGAUUAGCUUAAACGAAACCUAACUAGGUUGCCCUAGGAAAGCAUUUCUGUUCCUGACACCCCCCAUCUGCCUGCUGCUUCCAUUCCACCUGUAUGUGUCUGGGCACAUCCCUGCGUCCCUUUGCUGGCUUCUAGCCCACUCACUUCAAGCAUUUAUCCCAUGAGUUUCAUAAAAUCGUAGAAGAAAAGGGCUUGAGGCAGUGGUGGGGAAAUGAUAGGAAAGUCAUUUCUGGAUGCAUUCUGCCAUCCUGCAGAUCCCUAAACCACCUCUCCCUCUCCAUUCCCUCCCUCCAGAGAACAGCUUCUCCUUGUCUCCUGUGGAAUAGUUCCGCCCACAUUCAUGGGCCCUUCCUGUACCAAAACUGUACAGGUCUCACUUGCUUACCAAACACUUGGCAAACAAAUGUACCGUCCUUGGAAAAAUUUUGUUGAAUAAAAUUUUCUCUCUUUGAUCCAUCCAAAUGUUUUACAAAGUGCUACAGAAGCCAUGGAGGAACAAGCAAUUCUGCCUUAGGGAUCAAGGUUUCACACAGGGGGUGAUAUCUGAGCAACAGUGCUUUUUUGGUUUGUUUGUUUUGUUUUGAGAUGGAGUCUCAAUCUGUUGCCCAGGCUGGAGUGCGGUGGCACAAUCUCGGCUCACUGCAACCUCCGCCUCCCAGGUUCAAGUGAUUCUCCUGCCUCAGCCUCCUGAGUAGUUGGGAUUACAGGUGCCCGCCACCAUACCCAGCUAAUUUUUGUAUUUUUAGUAGAGACGGGGUUUCACCAUGUUGGCCAGGCUGGUCUCGAACUCCUGACCUCAAGUGAUCUGCCCACCUCGGCCUCCCAAAGUGCUAGGAUUAUAGGCAUGAGCCACAGUGCCCAGCCAACAGUGCUUUUAAUUGGCAUUUUCUUCAAAGACUUUGAUGUCCUAUAGGAGGGGGCCUAUGACUCAGCCUCAGCCAAUCAGAGCGCUCCAUUCCCUGGGUCACCUGCACACCUGCUCUUCCCUGAUCCACUGCAGUGCCCUCACCCUGAGAUCUGAAACUUGAGCAGAGGCACCAAGAGGCAGACAUGGGAGCUGAGCUGUCUUUUGGGAGAAUCCUAGUGAGAAGGUUCUCCAACUGGGGCUGCCAAGUAAGGGCCUCAUGGCAGACUAACCCCUCUCCUUCCUGAGGCUGGGAGGAGCUGCUGUCCUUUUGAUUCUGUGAGCUACCUCAGUUGCCUUCCCCAAAAUCACACACACGCACACACACACACACACACACACACACAUUCGCAUGCGCUAGGUAGAGCUGUUUUCCAUAAUUGCCAACAGAAGACUAACUGUAUUUGAAGAAUGAGCUGGCAUUCUUCUGCUCCGGUAGAAGUCAAGGCAAUCAGUUAUGAGAAUCAGAGCCCACCUGUGACUCCAGAAAGAGGUGCAUAAAUACCAAGAAUUUAGUCUCUAAAGUCUUUCUUUAAGUCCUUUUUUAAAAAAUGUGAUGAGUACAUCACCCAGGAAAAUCAAAUUGUAAUGCAACCGAGUCGAUGCAAGUUUUGUUUAGGAGAUGGGUUACAAUCACCUGGGGAAGCUCUAGUUACCUUGAUUUGGUCUGGUACAAACCCUAGCACCAUCAGCCACAGAUCCCCAGAGGAAGUCAUUCCUGGAUUGGGGGAAACCUACAUAGGGACAAAGACAGCAGGUGUCUGCAAUGUUGAGAAUCAGUGUGUUCUGCCACUGUCUCUAUCAGGGCUGGUGGCACAUGCAAAUCUCUUUCCCACUCUCCAGUUGAACACUAACGCCAUGGUGCCCACACCUUCCUUAUUAGUCCAUGUACGUGGGGUUUGUCAAGACAGUGGUUCAUGGCUCUGACCCUGAGCAUGUCAGAUUUCAGGGGCUUUAUGCAAAAUAUCCAUACUAGUUGCGGUCAUUUCCCAUCAGUAUUGCUCACAAUGGAGCCUACAAACCCCUAGUUCCCAUCCAACACAUCUCCAAGGCAGACUCUCAGACCAGCUCCCAGAAACGAGGUGAGUUUAGAUCAGGCAGCAGAGAGGUGGCCUAGGAAGGAGUCCUUGGAGCUCAUGCACCUGUGUCUGGGCACCAACAGGAAGAUGGUGGCUUUUGCUCUUUGGGAGAUAUCUUUGGAGCCAGUCUCUGACCGCAUGUCCAACAGGAUAGGCAUCCUUGGGGUUUCCAUGGCAGUCUACUGACAGUCAGGGGUGAGGAUUAAAUGGUACAGAGUCUCACUGAGUGCUCUUUGAGAGGUCAAGCAAUGAGAAGUCCUGCAAAUGAUCAUUGAGCUGAAGUAAGAAGUGUACCGAAUCUGUUUUUUCCCCUAUAAAUAUAAAAGCCUAUAAAUAUAAAAAUCUUGGUGAAAAAAAAUGAUCCCAGCCUCCCACACAGCACAUCACACAUCUUCUCUUUUCAAAUUUGACUCCAAGGCCCACUUCCUUCGGGAAAUCAUUUAUCCAGUGGUAUCAUUUAGGAUAUUUUUGGUUGUGAGGAACAAAAGCCUAGCUCCAACAGACUUAAUAAAAGGAACUCAUUGGUUCACAAACUGAAAAACUCCAGUGGUAAAUGAAGGCUCUGGGUACAGUUGGUACAGGCUCUGGUCUCUGUAAUUUCCUAGUUCUUCUCCUUUCUAUAUGCUGGGUUUUUGCCUUCAAGUUGGCUUUCUUCAUGGUGGCAAAAUGGAUCCAGCAAUUCUGUCAGAGGUUUUCUUGAUUAAAGGCUGUGUAAAAUGAGGAUGAGACUUGCUGGACUGCAUUCCAGGAGGGUAGGCAUUCUUAGUCACAGGGUGAGACAGGAGGCCAGCAGGAUUGAUAUCACAAGAUACAGGUCACAAAGACCCUGCUGAUAAAACAAGAUGCAAUAAAGAAGCCAGCCAAAACCCACCAAAACCAAGAUGGUGAUUAAUGUGACCCCCAGUCUUCCUCACUGCUCAUUAUAUGCUAAUUGUAAUGCAUUAGUGUGGUAAAAGACACUUCUACUAACUCCAUGACAGCUUACAAAUGCCAUGGCAAUGUCCAGAAGUUACCCUAUAUGGUCUAAAAGGAGAACCUGUAUAGUCUAAAAGAACUGAGGGUUCUGAGAAAUCCCUGACCCUUUCCUGGAAAAUUUAUGAAUAAUCCACUCCUUGUUUAGCAUACAAUCAAGAAAUAACCAUAGUGUACUCAGUCAAGCAGCCCCUGCUGCUGCUCUGCCUAUGGAGCGGCCAUUCUUUUGUUGUUUACUUUCUUAAUAAACUUGCUUUCAUUUUACUUUAUGGACUUGCCCUGAAUUCUUUCUUGUGCAAGAUUCAAGAACCCUCCCUUGGGGUCUGGAUCAGGAUCCCAUUCCCGUAACAAUUUCAGGCUCAGAUCGGCUUUUAACACCAUCCAGAGCAAGAGAAAGCUUUUUUGUUCCAGAAUUCCCCAUUAAAGUUCUCCUGGUCACUCUUAUUGGGUUGUUUCGCUUAGGGUCAAGUGUCCAUCCUGGUCCCAAGCAAUGAGGCCAGGAGAUGGGAUGCAAUGACUGGAUCAAUCUAGGCCUCUUAUUCCCACUUUUUAAAACACUUAUUAUUAUUUUUUAAAAAAAUUAUUUUUCAUUCAGCUUUCUCAUUUGAAACUUAUUCCAAUUCUUGAACUAGGGGUAGUUUCAACUUCCCUAGAGCUGUAUGGGUCCUCAAAUGAAAAUUCGGGGCAGCUGGAUUAGAGAAGGGGAAAUGCAUGCUGCAGGGGCAACCAACAAGGGGAGAUUGUGCCAAUUCACUCUUCCUAUCCUCAGAUUCACCUAAGUUCUGACCGUUCAGCCCCAUUUGAAUGCAUUCUGCAUUCCUAUGACUGUGGAUUACAUUUUUGUCUACCUUUGUGUCUUCUGUUUUGUCCUGCCCUAUAAGCAUCUCAAACAUAUGCAUAAAGCCUAUAUAAACUUUAUAAAUAAACUAACACUUCUGUUUUCAACCUGUAGGAUGAUGACAAUGAUGAUGACGACAAUGAUGAUGGUAAUGAUGUGGAAAAUGUGAAAAGAGAAAGAAAUACUUGGAAAUAUAUCUCACCCUCCAUAAACAAAGCUCGGGGUUUAAUUCUGACCUUUAUGAGUUCAUGGGGUGAACUGCAGACCACUGUCUGUGGACAGGAGAAUGAUAUUUCAUCUCUAGCCCCAGGGACAUCUCCAAAAGCUGAACUAGAUGAACUUUAUAUAAAUUGGUACAAAAUAUAAUUUUCUCUUUGCCUGCUGAAAGCCAUUUCUAGAAAUUCUGUUAAUCAGAAUCUCCCUAAGUUAAUCAGUCAUCUAGACAAGAUCUUAUUUCUUUUUUAGACAAAGAAAAGUAUAUAAGUAACAGGUAUUUGUAAACCACUUGAGUGAAGCAUAUGAUAUCUAAUGUAAGGAAAUCUAAAAGUGUCCACAGGCAAAAUCUCAUGGAUUCAAUUGAUAGCACAGGUCAUCAACUGACAUGCAGACGGAAUUCUCUUGUGGAACAAGACAAUACAGCCAUUGCUUAGAGACUAAUUGUCAAGGAAUUAGUCAUUUCCUAUUUCAGAAUAGCAUCAUCACCACCACCAUUAAUGCCAACAUCAACCACCACCACCUACACCACCACCGUUAGCAUCAUAACCACCACCAAUAACAUCACCAACACCAACACCACCAUCAACAUAAACCAUCACCACCACCAAAACCAUCAGCAUCACCUAGAACCACCAGUCACCACCAUCACCACUUACCACAACAAGGCUUAUAUUUACAUACUUAUUUUACUUUUCAAAAUACAUUCACAUGCAUGGUUUCAUUAGAUCUCAUCUACUUGGUAAGGCUGGCAGAUCUGACAUCAUUAGCCUCAUUUUAUCUGUAUGGAAACUAAGUUCUAGAGAAGCGAAGUGAUGUGUGAAAGGACACCAGAGUGACUGAUAAUCAAAUCCAGACUAGAGUUUGGUUCUUCUGACUCCAAAAUUAAUAAAUUUUUCUUAAAAAAAAAAUUUUUUUUUGAGACAGGGUCUCACUCUGUCACCCAAGCUUGAGUGCAGUGGCAUGAUCACAGCUUACUGCAGCCUCGACUUCCCAAGCUCAAGCAAUCCUCCCACCUCAGCCUCUCAAGUACCUGGGACCACAGGCACAUGCCUGGCUAAUGUGUUUCAAACAUUUUUUGGCUGGGCGUGGUGGCUCAUGCCUGUAAUCCCAGCACUUUGGGAGGCCAAGGCAGGUGGACCACAAGGUCAGGAGAUCGAGACCAGACUGGCCAAAAUGGUGAAACCUCAUCUCUACUAAAAAUACAAAAAAAUUAGCCAGGCGUGGUGGCACAUGCCUGUAGUCCCAGCUACUCAGGAGGCUGAGGUAGGAGAAUUGCUUGAACCCAGGAGGCAGAGGUUGCAGUGAGCUGAGAUUGUGACAUUGCACUCCAGCUUGGGCGACAAGAGCAAACUCCAUCUCAAAACAAAACAAAACAAAACAAAACUUUUUUUUUUUUUUUUUUUUUGUAGAAAUGGGGUCUUCCUAGGUUGCCCAGGCUGGACUCAAUCUUCUGGGCUCAAGUGAUCCUACUGCCUCAGGGUCUCUAAAUGCUGGGAUUCAGGCAUGAGCCACCACACCCAGCUCCAAUGCUUUUUUUGUCGUACCUAAUUCUUUCAAUGAAAAUGAAGAAUUUCCAACUUCUGAUAUUAACAACUUUGGUCCUAUAUUCAAGCUAGAGUCUUUCAAAUAAAAUAGACUUUUAAAACCAUCUGUCUCCAAACCCUAAAUGUCUCAGGUGAGCAACUAAGCUGCUCAGUUUAUGUGACUCCCCAGAAGUUGAAUUUUAACCCAGAACUGACUCCAAGUUCACUCUUCUUUCCAUGACAAGGAGUCACCUCCUUGUAUGCCCCCAGGAGUCUCCCGGAUUCCUCCGAGAACAGUGGAAUAGUGCUCCUCCCCAGAGCACAGGUUUUGCCAGUGAAGAUUGAAUUUGGCUAGAAACCGCUGCCCUGCUCUCUUCUCGAAGCACCUGGAAGUCUGAGAAGGAACUGGGUGGCUGGCUCUGGUCACAAACUAGCAGCCAGAAGCACCCCUUGUCAGUGAUGCACCCCCAGUCCCCCUCAAGGGCUCCAAGUAAACCCAAAGCUGCUCCCCUCCAAGAAGUCUGGGGCCACCCUAGGGAAGGCCUCCUGGCCUUGACUCUCAGGGGGUCUCUGGGGUUGCGGUUUGGGGCCUGCUGCUCCCGCCCUUUGCCCCCAGGUGGGCCUGGCAGGGCUGCAGCACAGCUCUGUUGCUGAUAGUCAGGGUGGAGCACUUGGCGACCUUGCCCUGCAGCCCUAUCAUUUUGAGUUCAGAGGUCAGAUUUGAGUAAUAAACAUCUUCCAAGGACUUGUCAUUCUUUCUGAGGAUGUUGCUGGCCAGCCGGAAGACAAAAAUCACCGCGUAGAUGCCGAUGAUGGUGAGGAUAUACCAGGCAGCGCUAGUUCCGUCUGGCACCUUCAGAGCCCUGGUGGAGUUGGUGUCAUUCCUCCUCUCUGUGUGGUCACCCAGCGGGAGCCCCAGGAGGGUGCUGGCCUGGGUCUGGUUGGAGGCUUCAUGGGGAGUCCACUUGGCCCCUGAGAAACAGAGAGGUCCGGAUGAGAUCCAGCGUCCUGGGCUGAGGGCUGCCUGGCCACACCAAGGAGAAUGGAGCCCUCAUAUCCGUGAAAACGCGGCGCUGCUCAAAGAGGCCUUCUCUGAGGCAUGAGCAGGAGUGUAACAACAGCUUAGAAGAAAGGUGUCUAAAUUGGGAGCAAAGGUGGCAAUGACGCGGACUUGACACCAAAAAAAAUUUUUUUUAAAGAAAAGAAACAAGUGCCUCUGCAUUUCAGGGGGUCAGGAUUGGCAUUUUUAAAAUGUCAACAAAUAAAUGUUCAUAUCCACACUUGACAUAUUUUCCAAGGAGAAUUUUAAUUGUAUAAUUGCUGGUAAAUUCAUGCAACCAACAUGGAGGGCACACGGACAAGAUCUAUGAGCAUUACAAGUGUACUUACCUUUGACCCAGCAGUUCUAUCUCUAGGAAUCUAUCCUAAAGAUGCUCCAGAACAUCUAGAGACAACAUAUGCUGAAGGUUAGUCAUUGCAGUCCUCCUUGUGAUGACGAAUGCCUGGGAGCAGCCUGAAUAACACCAACUGAGGAAUGGUGAAAUACAUUUUGGAACCUCCAUGCAGUGGAGUACUAUGCAGUCAUAAAAAGCAAUGAGUUUUUUAUGGUACUGAAUGUUAAUAAGUGAAAAAAUAAGCUAAUGGUGACAGGCUCUGCAAUGCCACUUGUAAAAAAGGGGGAAGUUAUAUGUUAUUUGCUUGUACUUUUUGUAUGUAUAGAACAUCUCUGGAAGAAUGAAUAAGAAAUUAGUAUCUGCAAUUGCCUCUGGGGAAGAAACCUGGGAGAAGAAGAUACAUUUUUCACUGUAUGCCCUUUUGUACACUUAGUACCGUGUAUACUUAUUUUUGAAAAGAAAGAGUGUACGAGUUGGUACUUUUCUGGUCUCCCUGGUGAGGUGCCCCUGGGUAAAGCCAUUGUAUGCCCUUGUAAGACCAGAAGAUUAAGAUCUCAAUUGCUGUUCAAUUCAAAACUGUUUUCUCUGCUUGCAGAGCUGGUGGAGAAAAUGAAACAAUGAAAACCAGAGAUGUAGAGUGCAGUCCUGUGAGACAUUUCCCAGUGGGGCCUUACUGGCUCAAACCCCCAUUUCUUGCUCUAUGUGAACACAGAUGUAUUUAAAAACACAUCAUAGGAUCAAUCUCGCAGCCUGCUGUGUAGAACAAAGGUGCUCUAAAAUGCUUCCCAUUUGAUCGUUGUUUGUUUGUUGCUAAUUCAUUUUGCGAACGCAAGACUCAGAGAGGCCAGUAUUUUUUAUUAUAGUUAGUUGCCAGAAUGCGUGAAUGAGCUUAUUACUUUUAGAUGAAGGAAGAAAUUAUUUAAAAAUUACUUUUCAAACUACAUGUGACAAAGCCCAGGACAAAUGAACAGAUUUAAUUACAUAAAAUUAGUCACUCGCAAGAAACAACACCACAAGCAUAAAUUUACACCAUUGUUUGGUAGAAUGGUUUGAGACAUUAAAUUAAGGAAGGUGAAAAAUUCCCGUAAUUAUUGCAACAAACAAACAGACAGCAAAUCAACCCAACGAGAACACAAUAUCCUUAUAUUAGGGCAAGAGAACUUAUUGAAACUCAGAACACAUGUAUAAACUCAUAGAACUUUCUAGAAAUUGUCAUAGAAUGAUGCAAUACAUUCAAAUACAAAUAAAAUAUCCCCAACUAAGAGCUACACACAGAACAUUAAAUUAUUUAAAAACCAGUCCAUUUUCUACACGAAAGAAACUCACUAUAUUAAUUACUGCAAUACAUUACAUUUUACCUUUCUUACAAAGGUAAAAGUAAGUUAGGUUGUAUCUUAAUGGACAAACAUAUCCUGUAGAAGAGAGAAACUUUUUCCUCUGUUCUAUUUUGUACUUGUAAUUUAAUGACGUGAAAUGUGUAAAAUCUCAACCUGCCCAUCCUUGCAUUGUAGCUGAGUACUCACAUUCCAUGGGGUGGUCUUGUCCUUGACUCUUGGAGGGGCAAGUUCAAGCGGCUACCAUGCACAGAAGGGGAAGAUGAUGAAAGGAGAACUCCGUCUCCUAGGGAAGAAUCAGUCCUACUGCAGUUGAGCUGCACUGAGUUUCCAGAGUGGGGAGUAAUAUGAUCUUCCAACAAUCUUAGGGCAGCACCAAACAGAAACUUAGUAAGUGGAUGACUUUGCUUUCAUGUAAUUAAUCAGAGGAUCCGAUUUGCUGUGUCUUCUGUUGCAUCAGAACAGAAAGCACUUCCCAGCUUUGACUUGUUAAGAAGUUCUAAAUCAAAACAAAUUUUUUAAACGUGCUGGUAUUAAGGAAUCUCCAGCUCUCCCAGGUCCCAUGAUGAACUGAGGUGGCCAGAAGCUCCCCCUGAGGCUGGCUCUCUGCUUAGAGCUUGGAUGGCUAUUGAAUUCCCCUGUGUUCUGCACCUGUUGCAGGUGUGGCAGAUGGCCAGGUGUGGCAGAGAUCUGUCAUCAUAGGGCCAGGAAACUCCAUGGUCAAGAGUCACCAGCUUCUUGUGGACAGUCUCCCAGAUGAGGAAACCCAGACAGGAAGGGAGUGACACCCCCAGGGUGACACACCUGAGGGGACUUGGGCUUUCCCUGAGGGGUCAGUGGGCAGUGGACUCCUGUGCCAGGCGGUGAGGAAUGGCUCUUCUCUUUCCCAGAGUCACAGACCCCACUGGAGUUGAGGUAGGCUUAAUUGGAAAGUGCUAGAGUAAGUGUCUGCAGGUAAAGUUUCCCCAGGAGCAGGGAAGGAAAAGUUGGAAGACUGGCAAGUUAAAUCAUCCAGCCAUUGUUUCCAGCUCCAUUUCUUCCUAAUCCUCACUCUAGGACUCUAACCUGCCACGUUUGUGAUGGUUGCUGGUUUUUAAGAUACAAUUCGAUAAAAUUUCCAUCAAUGGGGUACUGGGUAAGUAAGUUAUAAAAUAAGCCAUAUGAUCCAGCAAUUCUACUCCUGGGUAUCUUCCCAGGAGAAAUAAAAAUGUAAGUUUACACAAAAACUUGAACACACAUGUUCAAAGCAGAAUUAUCUGUAAUAGCAAAAAAUGGAAACAACCCAAAUAUCCAUCAACUGACUAAUGAAUAAAUAAAAUGUGGUUUAUCCAUACAAUGGAAUGUUAUUCAGCAAUAAACAGGAAUGAAGUACUGAUAUAUGCCAUAACACGGAUGAAACUUGCAAACAUUGUGCUAAAUAAAAGAAGUCAGUCACAAAGGACUACAUAUUGUAGGAUUUCAUUUAUAUGAAAUGCCAAGAAUAGGCAAAUCUACAAAGAUGGAAAGUAGAUUAGUGGUUCACUAGCGGGAGGGAUUGGGGGUGAUAACUAAGGGUAUAUAGCAUUUUUGGAGGGGUAAUAAAACUAUUCUAAAAUUGUGGUGCUCGCUGUACACAAUCUGAAUAUACAAAAAAAUUGAAUGUAUACUUUAAAUGGAUGAAUUUUAUGGUAUAUGAAUUAUAUUUCAAUAAAACUGUUAAAAAUUAUAAUAUACAAGCUGGGGCACAGUGGCUCACGCCUGUAAUCCCAGCACUUUGGGAGGCCGAGGCGGGUGGAUCACCUGAGGUCGGGAGUUCGAGACCAGCCUGACCAACAUGGAGAAACCCUGUCUCUACUAAAAGUACAAAAAAUUAGCCGGGCAUAGUGGAGCAUGCCUGUAAUCCCAGUUACUUGGGAGGCUGAGGCAGGAGAAUUGCUUGAACCCAGGAGGCGGAGGUUGCAGUGAGCAGAGGUUGUGCCAUUGCACUCCAGCCUGGGCAAUAAGAGUGAAACUCCAUCUCAAAAAAAAAAAUUAUAAUAUACAUAUACAAUGCAGUAUUACACAGCUGUGAAAAAGAACGAGGAAGCUAUGUACUGAUGUAUAAAGCUCUCUAAGGUGUGCUGUUAAAUGAAAAAGGUAAAGAAGAGAGCAUGUUACCAUGUAUCAAAAAAUUGAGAGGAAGCAUAUAUAUAUAUAUGCUUUUAUAUAUAUAUAAGCAUAUAUAUAUAAGCAUAUAUAUAUAUAUAUAAUCAGAUAUAUAUAUCUGAUUUUGCCACUGUAAGCAUUUAAAACACCAGUGGAAUGUCCAAGAAAUUAAGAAGAGGAGUUACCUAUUGGAGGAGAGAACCAGGUAGAUAUAUGGCAGGUGUGGGAGGGAGAGCUCUCACUAAAUAUUUUUAUGCUUUAAAUAUUUUUAACCGUAUGUGUAUUACCUAUUCAAUAAUAAAUGCACCCAUUUGUUAGA